rnacentral:rRNA from 1 species
CUACGGGGGGCAGCAGUUACGAAACUUUUACAAUGCGGGAAACCGUGAUAAAGAGAUUCCAAGUGCUUGCUUUGCAAGCUUUUGUAUAGUGUGAAUAACUAUGCGAAUAAGGGGAGGGCAAUAUGCGUGCCAGCCGCCGCGGUAAUACGUAAUCCCCAAGUUGUAUCCAGCAUUAUUUGGCUUAAAGCGUGUGUAGCUGGUUUGUUAAGUCUUUUGUGAAAGCAGCAAGCUUAACUUGUUGAAUUGCAAGAGAUACUGGCAUGACUAGGGACCGGGAGACGUUAAGAGUAUUUCUAGAGUAGGAGUAGAAUCUUAAGAUACUAGAAAGACUACCUGUGGCGAAGGCGCUUAACGAGAACGGAUCCGACAGUGAGAUACGAAAGCUGGGGGCGCAACCCGGAUUAGAUACCCCGGUAGUC